AUUGAACGCUGGCGGCAUGCCUUACACAUGCAAGUCGAACGGUAACGGGCCUUCGGGUGCCGACGAGUGGCGCACGGGUGAGUAAUACAUCGGAACGUGCCCGAUCGUGGGGGAUAACGAGGCGAAAGCUUUGCUAAUACCGCAUACGAUCUACGGAUGAAAGCAGGGGACCGCAAGGCCUUGCGCGGACGGAGCGGCCGAUGGCAGAUUAGGUAGUUGGUGGGAUAAAAGCUUACCAAGCCGACGAUCUGUAGCUGGUCUGAGAGGAUGAUCAGCCACACUGGGACUGAGACACGGCCCAGACUCCUACGGGAGGCAGCAGUGGGGAAUCUUGGACAAUGGGCGCAAGCCUGAUCCAGCCAUGCCGCGUGCAGGAUGAAGGCCUUCGGGUUGUAAACUGCUUUUGUACGGAACGAAAAGCCUUCUUUUAAUACAGGAGGGUCAUGACGGUACCGGAAGAAUAAGCACCGGCUAACUACGUG
rnacentral:rRNA from 1 species